AGUGAACGCUGGCGGUAGGCCUAACACAUGCAAGUCGAACGGCAGCACAGUAAGAGCUUGCUCUUACGGGUGGCGAGUGGCGGACGGGUGAGGAAUACAUCGGAAUCUACUUUUUCGUGGGGGAUAACGUAGGGAAACUUACGCUAAUACCGCAUACGACCUACGGGUGAAAGCAGGGGAUCUUCGGACCUUGCGCGAUUGAACGAGCCGAUGUCGGAUUAGCUAGUUGGCGGGGUAAAGGCCCACCAAGGCGACGAUCCGUAGCUGGUCUGAGAGGAUGAUCAGCCACACUGGAACUGAGACACGGUCCAGACUCCUACGGGAGGCAGCAGUGGGGAAUAUUGGACAAUGGGCGCAAGCCUGAUCCAGCCAUACCGCGUGGGUGAAGAAGGCCUUCGGGUUGUAAAGCCCUUUUGUUGGGAAAGAAAAGCAGCAGGUUAAUACCCCGCUGUUCUGACGGUACCCAAAGAAUAAGCACCGGCUAACCUCGUG
rnacentral:rRNA from 1 species